AACCUGCCAAUGUUCAUGGAUGGAAGGAAGCUUUGUCAAAUCAGGGCUGGGAUAACCAGCUCCUGGAGAUUUGCAUGAAUCUACCUGACUACAGAGUUGAAGCCACCAAUUCUUGCCCUGCAUUUUGUGGUAGGCCAUAUGGUAUUGGUAUCUGACUAGUAGGAAAUACAAGCCUCUGGUCUGUGGAAAAGAAGAAGGUGUUAAAGGAGUUUAGAGAUUUUUCUAGAAGACACGCCUUGAGAGAGUUCACCAACACUGUACAAGGAUUAGGACCGGACAAGUGGAAAGUGAUGCCUUGGUUGGCAAGUGGCCCAAUGCUGGAAGUGAGAUGAACAAGCUCUUUCUGUAGAAUAAACCAUUAGGUUAACCUGAGACAGAGGAGAUGAGGCUUGGAACCUCUGCUCACCAGGUUGAUGAAAUCUUAUCUUGACACGAGAGGACCAGGAUCACAAUGACAAGUGAAGGGAAUAUGGCUGACAGCUGCUUACAACUCCUGUAUGUGGAAAAGUCACCUCCACUCAUAUUUUUUUUUGGCUAACACUAGGCACAUGGCCCCAGGACCAUCCUGUCUUUUGCCCAGAAGAACAGAAAUAUUCUGUGAAAUUCUCUAAAAUUCCCGUAGCAUCGCUUAAGUGAUGAUUAUGUGGCCAUUCCACUGACCUGAGAUUAGAGACAUGAAAACUUGGACGUGCUGGGUAGUAUUCCAAUGGGAGAAUCUGCCUGAGGAGGAAUCAAACGUGGGCGAAAGUAAAGCUGAGAGAAGGACAGAAAUAGAAUUCUGAUGACAUAUUGUUGGAGGUGCUGGAUCUAGUUGUGCCCGAAGCUACCCCUGAGCUUCGAAGGUCAAAUGAAAUCACUUUAUGGAUCUCAAAACACCAGUGAGCCCUCUCACCACCAGACCCCAUACUGAAGUGCUCCUGAGAGGAGAAGCCACCCAUGGCUGCUGAGCAUCUGGCAUCAAAAUGAGGGCUAACAAUGCCCUCUAACACAAAGUAGCUCCUGGUUCAGUAGCAGUCAUUUAACAGAUGCUGCUUCCCCUGUUGGUUUUGCCCCCAGCCCACUAGAAGUCUCAUGAACUGUUACUUAAUGAGCUAAAACCCACUCCCUAGGUAAGGGAAGCAGAAAAGAUAGAUGUUGUUGCACCAGUUUCAGAUCUCCAGUGAGUGGCGUACCACUGCUCAGACUGACAUAUUUAAUGAAGGACUUUUAAAGCAGUGUUUGCCAAACUGUCAUCUCCAGGCUACCUGCACUGGCAUCACCUGGAUGGCAGCUAACAAUUCAAAUUCCCAGGACCCACUACCAGAGAUUUGUGUAAGAAAAGGUCCCAGACAGGGCCAAGGAAUCUACAUUAACGAGCAUCCUAAAAAAUCACAAGCACACUAAAGCUUAAGAACCCUGAUUCCAAAAUAAAUUUAUUUCCUUCCUGCUCCCUGAGAGUUUCAAAACAUCAGGUCUUUACUCACAUUGGAAUGUAGGGUAUUCCCUGAAAAGCACAGUCAAAAUAGAGCACGGAAUCAAUAUGUAUUUGUUGAGUAUCUGCUGUGUGACAGGCAGUAUAGUGUGGAGGGGAGGGAGGCCCUCUGGAAUGAGGCUGUGGGAGUUCGAACCCCCAUUCUGCCACUUAGCAGUGUGAAAAAUUUGGCAAAUUAAUUAACCUCUUCACAUAUUAGUUUCCUAUUUGUAAAAUGAAGAUGAUAACCACAGCACCUGUCUUAUGGGGUUGUUAAUAAGUUAAACACAUGGAGUGUUCAGAUCACAGCCUGGCCCAAGAUAGGUGCCUAACUAAUACAAUAACUAAGUGUUUACUGUUAUUAUUACUAUGGGAACUGGGAUUUAAAAAGUUAUCCCUGCCCUCAUGGCACUUAAAAUAAAAGGAAAGGCAGGCAUGAGCCACAAUCUGUAAAGAAGGAAUUAACUAGAUACGAGAGUGAGAGUGCUUGGAAGGAGAA
rnacentral:lncRNA from 10 species